rnacentral:rRNA from 1 species
AAGUGGGGAUGACGUCAAAUCAUCAUGCCCCUUAUGUUCUGGGCUACACACGUGCUACAAUGGCCGGUACAGACGGAGGCGAAGCCGCGAGGCGGAGCAAAUCCGAAAAAGCCGGUCUCAGUUCGGAUUGCAGGCUGCAAUUCGCCUGCAUGAAGUCGGAAUCGCUAGUAAUCGCAGGUCAAGCAUACUGCGGUGAAUACGUUCCCGGGCCUU